UUACAGUGAGAGAAGCUUUGAGCCAAUUUGGACUGGAAGCUUUUCUGAUGGAGUCCAUCAUCCAAAGCUAAAAAACAAGAGAAAGUGGCAGUGAGCGGGAAAGAGAUUGACAAGAGACGAAACCUGCCUUCCAUCAGCCUCUAAUUGGAGUGAAGAGGCCCAAACCCCUCGUUAAGGGCCAGAAGUGUUCAGCCCACCGGCAGAGGCACAGCUCAGCACACGACGUGUGUCGACCGCCAGCAAUUAGCAAAGGUGUGGAGACGGGACUUUGGG